UGGCGAACGGGUGAGUAACGCGUGAGGAACCUGCCUCAAAGAGGGGGACAACAGUUGGAAACGACUGCUAAUACCGCAUAAGCCCACGACCCGGCAUCGGGUAGGGGAAAAGGAGCAAUCCGCUUUGAGAUGGCCUCGCGUCCGAUUAGCUAGUUGGUGAGGUAACGGCCCACCAAGGCGACGAUCGGUAGCCGGACUGAGAGGUUGAACGGCCACAUUGGGACUGAGACACGGCCCAG
rnacentral:rRNA from 1 species